CCCAUUCCUUUCUUCUUCCAACUCAGUCAUACGAGCAUGAAGCCUAGAAAUCUCAGCAUCUUUGGUCCUACAUUGGUGAACCAAAGCCCUAAUUUUGCUAUUCACUGAGGUCUUCACUGAUGAACCAGGUUCAACAUGGGCUACACUUAGCAGAUAGUCAUAGGCCUUGAGAGUCUUGAUUCCAAAAUACUCCUUACUGGAGGCCAUCCCAUUUCUUCAAAGGAAUGUUCAGCCUGUCCUGUACAGUUGCCAUAAUGAAUCCAUAAGGAGUAGCAUGAGCCUUUGAACUACUGAUGACUCUGUCCAACAGCUUGACUAUG
rnacentral:lncRNA from 1 species